rnacentral:rRNA from 1 species
GACGAACGCUGGCGGCGUGCCUAAUACAUGCAAGUCGAGCGGACUGAAUGGGAGCUUGCUCUUGUUCGGUCAGCGGCGGACGGGUGAGUAACACGUGGGCAACCUGCCCGCAAGACCGGGAUAACUCCGGGAAACCGGAGCUAAUACCGGAUAACACCGAAGACCGCAUGGUCUUUGGUUGAAAGGCGGCGCAAGCUGCCACUUGCGGAUGGGCCUGCGGCGCAUUAGCUAGUUGGUGAGGUAACGGCUCACCAAGGCGACGAUGCGUAGCCGGCCUGAGAGGGUGACCGGCCACACUGGGACUGAGACACGGCCCAGACUCCUACGGGAGGCAGCAGUAGGGAAUCUUCCGCAAUGGGCGAAAGCCUGACGGAGCGACGCCGCGUGAGCGAAGAAGGCCUUCGGGUCGUAAAGCUCUGUUGUGAGGGACGAAGGAGCGCCGUUUGAAGAAGGCGGCGCGGUGACGGUACCUCACGAGGAAGCCCCGGCUAACUACGUG